UUUGCGUUUUACCACUCGUUAAAUGUACAAAACAAGUAAUUAUCUACUAUUUUACUAUUUGAUUUCUUGAUGAUAAGUUUAUAUGCUUAUGUUAUAUGAACUUGUGCAACUGUUGAUACUAAUUAAUUUUGAGACUUGAUAAAGAGUAAUUUAUAGAGCUGCCUAGGUCUAGGUAAAUGUUAUAUAAUUCAAAACAGGAAUGAAAUAUGUCUCUGUGUAAAAUCUCUUCAGAAUUAAUCAAGAUUUAGUAUUCAGAUACACUAUGCUUCAUUUCCUUUUGGUUCUGCUGUUAAAGUUUCUAACUUUAAAUGAUGAUUGUUGCCUUUUGCAUGCAAUAGUUGGUGGAAUCAGUGUUAAGUAAGGUUACGGAAGAGUUUAAGCAACGCAUUACAAGUCAAUUAUGACCUGGUAUUGUUCAGAACUUCACAUAUCUGCUGUUUUUUUGGUUUUCUGCAGUGUUCUUUUUGUUAACAUAUUGAUCUUGUUACUUGACGAUAAAAACAAGUACUAAAGACAUGGAUGUUUCCCAGGGCAACAAAUUUCCACCUAAACCUUCAUCUGGUGAUAAAAGGAUGAGAAUCGUUGGGAUGACAGAAGAUGGACGUCUCUCUAUAUCAAUAGUUAGGCUUAAUUUAGUUUUUUUUAGCAUAUAUUUUACAUGUUUGCAUAUGAUCGCUUAUUUUAGUAUUAUUGAAGACUUAUUCAUUUAUAAUUUUAUAUACUAUUUGAAUUGAUUUAGUUUUUUAUUCAUUGACUUUAGCAACAAUUUACCGUA